CAUGUGGUUUAAUUCGAAGCAACGCGCAGAACCUUACCAGCUCUUGACAUUCGGGGUAUGGGCAGUGGAGACAUUGUCCUUCAGUUCGGCUGGCCCCAGAACAGGUGCUGCAUGGCUGUCGUCAGCUCGUGUCGUGAGAUGUUGGGUUAAGUCCCGCAACGAGCGCAACCCUCGCCCUUAGUUGCCAGCAUUCAGUUGGGCACUCUAAGGGGACUGCCGGUGAUAAGCCGAGAGGAAGGUGGGGAUGACGUCAAGUCCUCAUGGCCCUUACGGGCUGGGCUACACACGUGCUACAAUGGUGGUGACAGUGGGCAGCGAGACCGCGAGGUCGAGCUAAUCUCCAAAAGCCAUCUCAGUUCGGAUUGCACUCUGCAACUCGAGUGCAUGAAGUUGGAAUCGCUAGUAAUCGCGGAUCAGCAUGCCGCGGUGAAUACGUUCCCGAGCCUU
rnacentral:rRNA from 1 species